CUCGGGUCCCGGGUCCCGUGUGCCAGUCCCAGAUCGAGACCCAGUUCAAAUCCAGGGCUCCAUCUCCUACCUGUAGCUCAACCCAAACGUGUGCAGAUAUAAAAAAUAUGCAAGAUGACAGUUUAAUUUUAUGGUUUGUCUGCUGCUGAUCAGUUCUUUAUGCGUUGAAAUUGUAUUCUUACUUCGAGUCGGUCUCCGUCUCUAUCUGGGAUCUGAGGGCCUCUCUUUCGGGGACCCGCUGGAAUGCGAAUGGAGUCUGGUACGUGGCUACUUUUGGCUCCUUUCGGGUGAGGAAUUUAAUUAAUUUGAGCGCGACUUCUAAUGACACGGUGGGCGUGACCAGGGCUAAGGAAUUGAAACGAAAACUUGCCAAAAUUAAAGAAAGAAAAUUGGGAGAAGGAAUUUAUCAUUGGUAAGCCUCAUUUAUUAACUAGACGGGGUAAGCAGCUUACGUCCGACCAUCCACCAGCCAUGGUUGGAUCCGAGGGCUAGCUGUGCUACCCAGUUAUUACGCAACAGCCCAGCAAAAUGGCUACUUAACAAAUAUAACUAAUAGAUUGGAAUGCAAGAGCGAAACAAUGACACUGCCAAAGGGUUGGGAGCACAGGACAACCCCUGCCGCGCUAAUGCGCCCGUUUUUUACGUCUCUCGCAUUUUGGAAAAUGAAAUUAUAAUUCCGGCUCUUGGGCGGGCAGGCAGGGGUUAAGGACAGGAGGACACACACCUAUCCACGAGAGUAUAUACAUUUAUACAUACUCGUACGCAUACAAAACUGUUUUGACAUUUGGAAAAUGCAUGGAAAAUAGAGAGGAUGCAAAGCAACCCCUCCUGCUCAGGAGCGUGACGGGUGGAUGUGGAACAACUAGCAUUGUUAGUUCCUUGUUAGGGUGCCAUGCCACAAAGGGAUUCCGAAUCGGGGGUUGUCGCUAAUUAGAACGGGUACUGGUGCGUAUGCUCAGCUACCAUUGAUGUGAUGUGUAAUAUGCAUGAGCGAGCUGCAAUAUAGAUCACAUAAGGAUCCUUGAAACACUUACUUGUUUCCAGUUCUGAAGCAUUAUAACUCAAUAAAUCGGUCCAAGUACCUAGCAAAAGCAUUCGAAACAAGCAUAGGCUACAUGUUCACAGUUCAAAAGUCAUUCUAAACUAAAGAUGCUCAUAAAUUUAGUUAGCACCAGAAAGUUUCGGUCUAGUGUCUAUCUCUCUGUCCAGUCGAUUUAUUGACCAACUUUGCCAACAUUCAGCUGUCAAAAGCUUAGACCACACCAAAAAUUUAUACACUUUUGUUUCUGGCACCAAAAUUUUCCAAAAGGCAAGGAGUGAACUUUUCAGCUUGUCAAACUUUUAGCAGAUUGCGAUCGUGUGUCUCGUUUGGUAUUUGACACUUCAAAUUGAGCGAAACGAAUGCAAACAUGGUGUCCUUGUAGAUGGUUUCAGUUGUUAGGGAUAGGGACAAGGGUCUCCAGCGGGAGUGGUGCUAAUUAAAUGACGAAUUUCCCUCGCUGGACGUUCGCUGGCCUCAAAUGCAUUCGUCAUUAGUCGUCAGUUGCUAGGCCAGCGGGAGGGAGGCGUUUGGCCCAAAACUGCGACCAGGUACUGAUGCUAAGGUAAUCAGCUCGAGCUCAUCGCAGGUUUGUUUCACCAUCUCCUCCCGCUGACUCUUCCUCGCCUGCUGGCCAUUGUUCUGCCAACAGUCGAAUUCCGAGAAGCCAAAACACCCAGUUUAUCCGCAAAAUAAAAACUGAUUUUGCCUCUUUCUUCGAUGUAUCUGUGCUGUAUAUGUAUCUGUAUCUGAGGCUGUUUGGUGUGUUGUGUGUUUUUGUAAAAACCAUUGAACCCGCAAUAAAGUCAUCAAUCAUUGACAUUUGCCAGCG